CAUCGUUAAACCAGGAAAACCACUCAAAUUAACCAAGCUAAAAUAAUUGAGCCUUUUGCCUUGAGUGUCCCUAAUGGCCUGUCAACUUAUCCUACGCAUAUGUUACACUGUAUUUCGCAAUCGCUGCCCUUAAAAAACAAGUGCGUAUAUGACACAUUGUGUUAUUUUCCUAUAUGACAGGAGUCUAGCAGUGGCCAGCCGAAAUAUUGUAUUAAAGCAACUGAGUUAAAUUCUAUGUUGUGCUGGCUUUGCUAUUUUGUUUUGUUUUGCUUUGUUUUGUUUUUCUUUUCAAUAUUUCCUCUGAAAAUUGUAUAGCUUCUUAUAAGAAAUAUCCGUCACCUUAUACCCGGCCAGAUCUGUCUAAUUGCGUAUGUAAUAUUACAUGGUAAAUAGAACCUUACGUCAGUCACUGUGAAGAAUUACUGACAGCCUGUUAGCUAUAAGAUUGACAGAGCUCCAUAGUCACGUAUCCAGAGGCAAAGAAGCGCGGGAGAAAAGCAUCACUCCUUAAACCAAGAAGAUACAACAGACCUGCAAUAAUGGCCACUUUCUGCCCAACACAGUUGGUGAUUGUUGCUCUCAACAUUUUCCUCGUUGUGAUAUUUGUUGUGGCUAACAAGGACUUCUGUGGUAGUGUUUUUGAAACUCAACUCGACCACGCUUUAGUUGGUCACGUCAUGAGGACGGCUGUAGUUGUGGACGAGUUUGAAUGUCAGUUGAAAUGCAUUGG